GAAAUGUUUGGGUUUUUUUGCCAAGCAUCAUCAGAUCGUGCCUCUAAGGGCUGAACUCUCCAGGCAGACAGGAUGGUGUUUUAAAAAGACAAUAAGAAAACAAUUCCUGGAUUGGUGACAGCAGAUUUGCCAACAUGGAUUGAAGUUUGUGGGCUUCAGCAAAGAAGUAUGCUUCAGUCACAUUUGCAAGCUUUUCUCCACAACUCCGAGGGCUAGAAAUGUAUUUUUUCUUAAAUGAAACUGAAAUCCUCACAUGAGCCCUUAUUUCCAGCAGCUGGAUCGUUAUAUAAAGCAUCAAAUAUCAUGAGGUUCAAGAUAAAAAUCACAACAGUUGGCUACCUCCGUGUAAAUCCAGAAUCACAGCAAUGAACUCAGUGUGAAAGGAAACUCAGACUCAAUAUUCUAGGAGGGAACCAUUUCAAUGAACAAGUUAAAAAAGGGAGAGACA